GCGAGGGAAAGAAGAAGCCUAUGUUCAUGUUGUAAUGGAUCAUAUCGGAACAGUGAAAGUAACACCGAAAAAUGCAGUUUCAUCUCAUCUCUAUGGCUACAUGGCGUUAUGCAACAUGACUUCUGGAAAAUUGUAAGAGAUUGAAAAUGUUCUGGAUUUGUGGCAGUGUUUGUAUUUACAAACCAAACAACCAACAGGCUGAAUGCAACAGAAGCUGAGAGACCUACUGAUAUAAUCACUUGGCAAUAGGACCCC